GACGAACGCUGGCGGCGUGCCUAAUACAUGCAAGUCGAGCGAACUUUUGGGAGCUUGCUCCCAAAAGUUAGCGGCGGACGGGUGAGUAACACGUGGGCAACCUGCCCCUGAAUCUGGAAUAACUUCGCGAAAGCGAGGCUAAUACCGGAUAUUGUCCCAGGGACCUCGGUCCUUGUGAUGAAAGAUGACCUCUUCACGAAAGUUGUCGUUCAGGGAGGGGCCCGCGUACCAUUAGCUAGUUGGUAGGGUAAUGGCCUACCAAGGCGAAGAUGGUUAGCUGGUCUGAGAGGAUGACCAGCCACACUGGCACUGAAACACGGGCCAGACUCCUACGGGUGGCUG
rnacentral:rRNA from 1 species